rfam:Schistosoma haematobium scaffold273_19, whole genome shotgun sequence.
AUCCGACUGACGAGUCCUAGAUAGGAUGAAACACGCAUCCUGGAU